AUAUAUAUAUAGUUCAACACCCCAAACACACACUAACACACGCCACAAAAACACACACAGUGCAUAUAUUGUUGAUAAAUAGUGUACAAAGUUUGUUACAUGAUGAAUGAACAUAUUUUUCUGAAGUACUAAUAAAUAACUUAUUAUGGGUUCAUUCAGAAAUUUCUUGCUGUUCAACGGUAAUGAAGGGUUUAGCUGCGGCGGCCGGAGGCGGCGGAAGAGGCCGGAGGUGGUGGAGCAAAUGGCGGUUGUUCUUUCUGCUUCAGCUGGCUCUUUUCUGAGCUGGGCUGGUUCCAAGAUCUUGUCUUUUCAUUGGUUGUCCCUCUUCUGAUGGUGGUUGGUGGCGGCGCUGGUGGCGGUGGUAUUGGCUGGACGGCUCAAUCGGUUGUGAUUUGUGAUUUAAUUUUUGCUUCAUUAUUAUUAUUAUAUUUCUUGUAGCUAAUUAAUUAGUGUUUAUAAUGCCAAUUAAGGGUUUGCAUUUGUUGAAUUUUCUUGGUUUCUUUAGCAUUUGAGUACUAUAUAUUGAGAGCAAAAUGAGUUUAUA